rnacentral:misc_RNA from 1 species
GAUGAAGAACGUAGCGAAAUGCGAUAAGUAAUGUGAAUUGCAGAAUUCAGUGAACCAUCGAAUCUUUGAACGCACAUUGCGCCCGGCAGUAAUCUGCCGGGCAUGCCUGUCCGAGCGUCAUUUCUCCCCUCGAGCGCAGCUUUCCCCCCCGGGGGAGGGCCGCGCCCGGUGUUGGGGCGCUACGGAGGAGCCCAGCGCUCCCCCGUAGGCCCCGAAAUGUAGUGGCGGUCCCGCCGCGGCGCCCCCUGCGUAGUAGUUUUACAACUCGCAUCGGGUCCCGGCGGAGGCCAGCCGUCAAACCCCCCAACUUCAAUAGUUUGACCUCGGAUCAGGUAGGGUUACCCGCUUAACUUAAGCAUAUCAAUAAGCGGAGGA